AUUUAAAUAGCUUAUAUUUAGAGCAUGAUAUUGAAGAUAUCAAGGAAACAAUUGUUGUUUUUAAGUA
rnacentral:tRNA from 1 species